rnacentral:lncRNA from 1 species
CUAGGUUUAAUGCCACUCGAUCUAAUGUAUAUAGAUUGUCCAUAUGCACAUUUCCAUUUCUUAACAUUAGUAUCUCUACAACAUGAUCAUCAAGUAUAUCUUAGCAUUAGCCACAUGCUUGCAUUUAUUAUUUCUACAUCAUGCUUAUCAUACCAUUACUUAGCAUUAUCCCCAUGCAUGCUUAUCAUGUAAACUUUAACAUUACUCAAUGCAUUCAUCUAGCACUAUUUACACUAAGUCAUCAUGCAUUCCUCUUAUCAUGUUCUUAUAAUGUUAACAUUCAUAUGCCCUUUAUCUUAUGCAUUCAAAGCAUUAAUCACAUGCAUUUAUCUAGCAUUUCUAUAAUAUGUUAACAUGCAUUCUUUUCACAUUCUUACAUUAUGUCAAAUGCAUUCCUCUAGCAUUUCACAUUAUAUGUCAACAUGCAUCAAUAUGAAAUCUCAUUUCUUAGACAUAAAGGGCGACCUAGUCGCUUCGGUAAGCACAACCCACCUCAUUUCGCAUUCCGAUUGCUUGUCGACACUUACAAUCGACCGCCCGCGGCACCCGUAUCCGGCACGGCCCGAUACUGCAACUGCGCCUCAACCGUGCUCCGCUUCGCAGCCCCGAAAAUUAUAGGUCUUCGGUUAUGUGCCACGAUGCCUCAAAUCCAUUUCCACGAUUUUACGACGUCGCCUCGGCCCUCCCGGCGGACCCGAAGCCUAAACGUCCAUUUCUUUAAUAACUUUGUAACGGCUCGUCGGAUUGCCGAACCGUCUUCGCCAACGCGUUUCGUUACCUAGCAAUUAGGUUUACGAAGGAUCAAAUGAGAUCAAACCCUCAUAUUUUGAAAGUUUGCAUUUUUGUGCCCUAAUAUGAAUUAACCUCUAAAUAAUCCAAAUCAAAUGGAGUAAACAUGUUUAGAAUGCUCAUUAGAGGCUAUUAGAACACUUAAAACUAAGGAUUAAGCCAAAUCCUAAAAGCUUACCUCAAUGUGAACGCCGCGACGACAACACACCGCUCCAACGGCCGCACGAAAGCCCGAUCCGUCGCCUCCAACGCGUUCGCAAGCAUCUUCUCCACCAACCCUCCAAUUUUUAGAGAGAGAUUUAGAGAGAUGAGAGAGAUAUCUAGAGAGAGAUAGAGGUGUUUCUCUCUCUACUCUAUGCGUGCGUGGGUGUGUGCUCGGGCUGAAGGAGAAAGAAGAAGAAGCAUCAGCUUCUUUAUAAUGCACCCCAAGGCACUAUUCACUUCAGGCAGUUUUUGCAGUUCGGAACAGUUGGAGCCCUUCUGAAUGUCUGUUUGAGCUCAAAUUUGACAGGCAGGCUCAGUUUAACGUACUAAGUAAGAAUAUAUUUUAAGUUUUCAGUUUCGACCCCAUUUGGUCACCGAAAAUUGUGUCGAACUGUAAUCUUUAUCAGAUAACUCUCGGAUUUUAUUUCUCACUCUACGGGAGUCAGAAAAAUAUGAAACUUUAAAUCUAGCCUCAUAAAAAUAUUUCUGGCUCAUCCUCCAAUUUUUAUAAUUUUCUGAGACUGUGCAUUUUCUGCUAAUCUAUCUGUCCCAUUUCCAACAGAAAAUUCUAGAUCUUCUGCUUUCAUUCCGAUUUCAGCACAAGUCACUUCUGAUUUAUGUUUUACUUCUAUAAACCCAAGAAAAAUAGUUUCUCACGCUAUUUUUAUUUAUUUUUAUUUUUAUACCAAAAUCUGGUAUGUUACAACCAUACUCGGUAUACCAUUGGUCACACAAUCUAUCACGUGGCAUUCCACGCUCCCGGGUCUAAGCUCGGACUACCGUCCUGACCAGAACUCUGCCCUACUCGUAGGUACCGGGCCGCUGUCACUCACAGCUGACUGCGCCUGCCCAAAGGGCCCAGGCUCCACAGUCCACAAAUGGUCCAGGCACGGGUCGUCCCCAAGCACUACCCACCGUCGUCGUUCUACACGACAUACUCUACCGAGUCACACGUACCAAUAUCAGCUCUUAUGCACCUAGUGCGAGUCACCAGUCCCACGAGUGAUCCAUGGCACCCUUCACACCUAGCAAUGCUCAAGUGCUACUGCCAACUCACUCACUCGGCUGAAUACGCAUCCGCACUCUACGGGUCUCUACACUCGAGCGCUCUACGCCUCUACAGCGUUCCACACGAAGUCCAACAUUAGGCAAUCUUGCCUAUGCACACCGGCCGCACGAGCACAACCGCCUACCUCACCUUGAGGUACUACUAGGCCCACGUGCUCAAACUUGGCCACUAAUCGACCGUUCUCUCAACAGUGAUGCUACUUUCACUAUUCGAUCUACCGGAAUAACAUCCGAAAUUUUCGGACUACCCGGGUGCCCAUAGGCAUUAUGGCUCGACUCUCGCAAUUUACUACUUAUAUUGCUCUGAGAGUCAUUUCGACACUUCUAUCUGUACCGCGAGUCUCACUUCUCGCCAUAGAUUACUUCUAGCACUUCGCUAUUGCCAUCUGGCUCUAUACCUGUACUGGCAGGUACUACGCCCUCACAUAAUACAAAACUCCAUUUCUAGAGCAAUCAAAUCUAUCUCCAAAAAUCCACCAUGGGAGAGAGCUUAGAAGCUUACCUCUCCAAGAAGCUCCAACCAAGGAGAAAAUGAGGAAGAUGAGGAAGACCUCCUUCUUCUUCUUUUUCUUCCCUUUCCUUUCUUCUUCCUCCUCUUGUCUGCUAGAGAAAGAAAGAGAGAUAUGAGAGGGUGUGUUGGUGAGAAAUAAGAGAAAAGAGCUCUCAUAUCCCUCACAUAGCCCCACAUGUUGCAUAAGUGCAAACAAGCCCCUCAACUUUUAUUCUUUUACACUGCCCUGACUGGGCCAUUUUCGGGUUCGGGGACCAGUCUCCCCGACGAGGGACCGGUCUCCGAGAGCUUCUCCCCGCAGUCAGCAGAGCUCACACCCGAUGCAACCGGUCUUUCUUUGGGGGACCGGUCUCUUAGGGACCGGUCUCUCCAGCAGGGACCGGUCUCCGAGAGCUGUCCACCAAGGACUUAGCCGAUUUUUCUCUCCUCUUGCUACCUGCGCGUUUGGGGACCGAUCACUCCCCACAGGGACCGGUCUCCGAGAACAGAAAACUUACAGUUUGCAGAUUUUCAUUUCCAAGGCUCUCGAAGAUCCCCAGUAAUGCACUUUUGCAUUAUUUGACGCCUCCGACCUUUCCAAAGCGUACCAACCUCGCUCUUUGGUCAAUUUGACCAAGGUUCGAUACUUGGUUACCGAAAUUUCGGUAUAUUACAUACCCACUCGAUAACUAGCCGAUCCCGGACAAAGUCCAACUCUCGGCUCUGGAGAUUUCACUUCGUUACGACCAUACUAUAUGGUACACCCCUGGUGUUAAAUCGGUAACACAUGUUCCAGAACUUCGAUUUUGCACCGCUUCGACUCCAAUUCGCGUCGAGCAAUGCUAAAACUAUUCUAACUCUUUUAGAACUUAAUUCUAACUCUUCCAACAUUAUUGGAAUAUCAAUUGGACUUUGUCCAACUACUUCUCUCGACGCACUUUGGUCAAUUUGACCAAAAGUGAUCUAACACGAUGAGGAUUUCGUUAAUUUCUCAAAGGUCACAAGGGCCGCCAAAACUCGCGAAGUUCCAAGUCUCCACUCGCCUCAAAUUGCCCAGGGACACCGCUUGGCCCAUCCCGUGCCGAUCUAAAAGAAGAUCGCCUACAUAGUACAAUCGCUUCCUAAAACGCGACAACUCUAUUAAUCCUCGACCAUCUAGGUCGAACACAAGACACUUAAUACCGACUCAAAUCAGGCGAAAGUCACGCAAGGCUGUCUAUUCUCAUUACUCGGUUUCAUGUUGUAUGCAUCCAACAUGAACACCCUCGGUUGAGAAUAAACCACACCUUGAAUCUACCUCUAACAUCCGUUUUAGAGGUUUACAACAUAACCCAAUCAAUUUAUCUUUCGCCAAUAGUCACAAGUCCUCGUCUCUCACGAGCCUUAAUCUCCUAUGGUUUACUAUCCUAGGGUCUCCUAGGUCCAACUAAACCAUUUUCUAUUAUUCUUUUUGUGUUCUUUUUAUGCUCUGAUACCAUCUUAUCUGUCACGCCCCGAGCCCGCCUAUUUGGUCGGUUUCGGGCAUGCCAACAGAUCGCCGAACGGAUAGGGUUUCUCCUGUACUGCGGACAGAGUCUCCCCUGUACGUUCAAGGCAUAGCAAUCAAUACAAUGUACGAAGUUCCAACCAGGAACACAUUUCAAUCAAGAUUGCAUAAUGGAAGGUAUCAAACAACAUAACACAUCCUAUAUUAUUACAUUCAUUCAUAUUCAUGCAUUUUACACCUCAACUACCAUUCCUUUUUCAUCCAAAUGCAAUCUAAAUUAUUACAACAUUUAUAUCUUUAAUACAUCAUGUUACAUUGUGUUCUUUUUAUUUCUUUAACCCCUAAGGUAUGUCGACGGGGUACUGCUAGCUCUGGUCUCUGGGGUAGGGCGCUAUCUACGAAGCUACGCCCUUUCCUCGCGCUGCCGCGCUGCUCACGUGCGAACCUGUAAACACCCCAAAACCACGUGGAGUGAGAACCAACUCCAUGGUUCCCAGUGGGUACGGCCACCCAAGGGAAAAGUUCGACCAAUAGGUCCAAGGGAGGCAAUUGCAAGUUAGUUCAAUAAACAGAUAGAUAUAUAUCUUGAUUAUGCAACGAAUAAAACCAUGCAUUGCCUCACGAAUGCAAUAAUGCAAUGCUAUAUGCAAAUCAUG